AGUGAACGCUGGCGGCGUGCCUAACACAUGCAAGUCGAACGUGAACAGGGGCUUCGGCUCCUAAGUAAAGUGGCGUACGGGUGAGUAACACGUAGGUAAUCUACCUUAGAGUUUGGAAUAACCUGCCGAAAGGCGGGCUAAUACUAAAUGGAGCGAGAAAUUCAUAAUGGGUUUUUCGGAAAAGGGAGCUCGCAAGGGCCCUCGCUUUAAGAUGAGCCUGCGCCCCAUUAGCUAGUUGGCAGGGUAAUGGCCUACCAAGGCUUCGAUGGGUAGCUGGUCUGAGAGGACGAUCAGCCACACUGGAACUGAAACACGGUCCAGACUCCUACGGGAGGCAGCAGUGGGGAGUAUUGCGCAAUGGACGCAAGUCUGACGCAGCAACGCCGCGUGAGUGAAGAAGGCUUUCGGGUUGUAAAGCUCUGUCGAAAGGGACGAAAAAAUUAUAGUUAACAGCUAUAAUCUUGACGGUACCUUUAGAGGAAGCACCGGCUAACUACGUGCCAGCAGCCGCCGUAA
rnacentral:rRNA from 1 species